rnacentral:rRNA from 1 species
UGGGGAAUUUUGGACAAUGGGGGAAACCCUGAUCCAGCCAUCCCGCGUGUGCGAUGAAGGCCUUCGGGUUGUAAAGCACUUUUGGCAGGAAAGAAACGUCGCGGGUUAAUACCCCGCGAAACUGACGGUACCUGCAGAAUAAGCACCGGCUAACUACGUGCCAGCAGCCGCGGUAAUACGUAGGGUGCAAGCGUUAAUCGGAAUUACUGGGCGUAAAGCGUGCGCAGGCGGUUCGGAAAGAAAGAUGUGAAAUCCCAGAGCUUAACUUUGGAACUGCAUUUUUAACUACCGGGCUAGAGUGUGUCAGAGGGAGGUGGAAUUCCGCGUGUAGCAGUGAAAUGCGUAGAUAUGCGGAGGAACACCGAUGGCGAAGGCAGCCUCCUGGGAUAACACUGACGCUCAUGCACGAAAGCGUGGGGAGCAAACAGGAUUAGAUACCCUGGUAGUCCACGCCCUAAACGAUGUCAACUAGCUGUUGGGGCCUUCGGGCCUUGGUAGCGCAGCUAACGCGUGAAGUUGACCGCCUGGGGAGUACGGUCGCAAGAUUAAAACUCAAAUGAAUUGACGGGGUCGAUA